AUGGACGAAGGAAGAAAUUUAGCAACACUUUUCCCGCAGGAUCUCUUGCAAGAAGAAAAUAAUCUCCAAAUUCGACUUGUCAAUUUUAUUUCUCAUGAAAAUAGCAAGUUAACUCAAAGAAUUUAUCACACAAAUAGUCAAUUUGCUAGAACUUGCUUACUAGUGAAUUCGGAACAAGAAGGAAAAGAAAAGGUUGGUGAUUCACUUGUUGGGGUAAGAGCAAAUGAUCUUAUUCGCGAUUUCCUAAGAGUUGAGUUAGUCAAGUCCACUAUUUCGUAUACACGAAAAAGGUAUGAUAGGAAAAGUGCAUGA
rnacentral:rRNA from 1 species